AAUGUGUGAGGUGGUGCUAUGUAGCAGGAACCCCUCUUGCUUUGCAAAUAGUUUUUUGUUUGUUUUCCUUUUUGCCCAAUAGAGCCCUGCUCUACUGACCCUUCAAUGUGCCCGUGUGCCUAAAUAUUCCUGGUCGUGUGAAAAGAACCCAGGUAUUAGCUGAACUAAGGAGCACAAUUCUGCAACAUUUUGGCACCCAAACACGGGGCUUGAGAAAUGAAUGCAAUUGGAGAAACUGGUUGUUUUACCAGGCGUUGAUUGGAAAUGUGUGCUUCCCUUUAAGCAGUCAAGCUCAACUUGCAGAACUGAUGGGAACCCCUUGGGAAAACUGGCCUCAAAUGUUUGUCUACACAGUCCACAUACAGGGUUCUUAACCUGCGAUUCCAUGAACUCCAAGUUAAGAACACAUGAUCUGGAUGUUUGACAAAAUACCUUCAGCAGGAAUAAUGAAAGCCCUGACAUUUCUGUGUGCAUAAAAACUGGAAAACUUUAAAAGUAAUAAAUCACCAAGUCUUUAUAAAAA
rnacentral:lncRNA from 1 species